rnacentral:siRNA from 1 species
AGAAAUAAGGUGUGUUGAGACA